rnacentral:lncRNA from 1 species
UUGACUCGUGGAGGCUCCUGAUAUUGAAACUGAGGUGUGAAGGCUUCAUUGAUAGGAGGCUGUUUCUGAGCCUCAAGAUUUUGCUGAGCUUCAUUCAAAUGCUGCAGUUGCUCCUUCAAAGCACGAACGUCUUCUUGUGUAGCCAUAGAACUACCUGGCAAACUUCAGAACCAAAGUCAGAACCAAAAGAAAAAUAAGGAAUAGANAAAAAAUGACAAAAAUAAAAAUCCAGAUUAGUAUCAAAUAAUUAUCAGAUAGUAUUAAAAAAUAAUUAGUCCCCGGCAAUGGUGCCAAAAACUUGUUCGCUAUUUUCUUUAACACGCCGCAAGUAUACGAGUGCAAUUGUGUGUAGUAGUAAGAAAGGUCGUAUUCC